UUUAUUCAUUGAUCUUAAACUCAGACUGUACAGUUCGAGGCAGAUUUUAAAGGCCUUUGGCGGGCGCUGUCCAGCUCUAGCGCCAGCGGUCAGAGACCGGCCCGCCAAAGCAACAUUUGACAAGUCAACAUAGGGUGGGAGUAGGGACCAGAGGCCCCGGACUCGGUAAUGAUCCUUCCGCAGGUUCACCUACGGAAA
rnacentral:misc_RNA from 1 species